UACCCAGCAUGCAGCGCGGCGCACACAGAGCCAUCUUGUCAAAGUGAGGAAGGGAAGCGCUGCAAGGAUUCCAGUUGCCCAAAAGUAUAACAUUUAAGACAUUUUGAACCCUCACAAGGGACUUGCCUUCUAGGCUGGUGUGACUACUAAACGAACACAAGGAUGCUAACCAAGUUGGUGAAGAAGACUUGUUUGUAGAAGAUGUCUUCCAUACUUGUUCCGACGUAGGGGGAGUGUUACAGCCCCUCAGUCCGCUAGUAGCUCGGGGAGCGGAGGGCUGCGGCCCGCCUCACUCCGCUGCGGUCCCUCAUUCCGCCCCAGCCUCCAGUAGCUUCGCUGCGGCUCCUCAGUCCGCUGCGGCCCGCCUCAGCAUCCAGUCGCUCGGUGACGGAGGGCUGCGCCCCCUCAGCCAGCCUCAGCCUCCAGUAGCUCCCGUUGCAGGGCGGCGCGGUGACAACUCCGGGACCGGGUCUGUGGAGUGAACUCAACUUUUGUCGCAAACCCUUGUAAGGUAUUACUGUUAACAGCUAAAGCUCCAGGAUGCUGUAGUGUACACGAUCUAGCAGUCUAUUUUACGCGCUCAUAAAAUGCAACAGGAGACUUGGAAAAAGGAGGAGGAUGGCGCAGAUUCGUAUUGAUUGCAGUUUACUUGUUAAUUCCGUAUAAAUGCAAACGUGAGACCCGAUCUAAUCGACUCGGUUCUAGGCUGAUUAGGCGCAUUUUGACGGAUAACCAUAAGGGAGUUGUUAACAGUCCGCAAACAUGUCGAAAAUGCCGGCCAAGAAAAAGAGUUGUUUCCAGAUCACCAGCGUGACGCAGGCCCAAGUGGCGGCCAGCAGCGCCACCGACGACACGGAGAGCCUGGACGACCCGGACGAGGCGCGGACCGAGGACGGCUCAUCGGAAAUAUUCGACGUGUCACGAGCGGAUUAUGAGCCAGUGUGUGACAGAAGUUCAUCAGAGGAAGCAAUCAAUAACGUCGGAGAGACUGACGCACCUGGCGUCAUGGUACCGCAACAUAUACCUCAAGUUAAUCAGUUGUCUGCAUUACCAAACAACCCUAACGGAGGCUCUCGAAACAUAGGAUAUGCAGGCUCUGCUUCGAGUAGUCAGCAAGGGCAUGAUCCGGGGGCUGCGUUGAUGUCUGCCCUUGUCACUCAGCCAGGCCCCGUGCAGCAGCAACGCCUUCCCCCUGGGGUGAGUGUUGGUGGUGGGCCUCCAAGCCUGUCAGUCAACGUCUCCCAUGUAGCACCGGUGACUUAUUCCACUCCUUCCUCUACCACAGCUACAGUGAGCUGCAGUUCACGCUUCAGGGUCAUUAAACUGGACCAUGGUACUGGAGAGCCCUUCCGAAGAGGGAGAUGGACAUGUACCGAGUUCUACGAAAAGGAUUCAGAGGGCUCCGUGAUGGGUCGGUCUGUCGAUAACAUACGACACGCAAACGCUGCGCCCGACCCCAGUCUCGACAGGGACAGCGGGCUCAGCCACAUUGGUGGCUCUGCCGUUAUCCCGGCAACAAACUUUGGUCAGGGGUUGGGCUCCUUGGCGGACAUGAUGUUAUCGCUCCCGGCAUCUCGCAUGCAGACGUUGGACGCUCUGCAGCAGCAGAUGCACCAGGCUGCCUACGCCACCGGGCAACCCGGGGGGACGGCCUCCCAGAACGCCUUCUCCAGCAGUAUCAAGUCCAUAGCUGUUUCCACCCCUCAGCAGCCUGCCGUCGGCCUUCUCCAACCGUCUGUCGGGCACAGCAGCCUGUCUCAAGGUGGUGUCAACAUGCAGAAGACUGCACUCAGUCAACCGGCCGGGCAGGCCUCGGCUGCAACCUCCAGCCAGACAGAAUACUACCAUCAACAACAACAACUACAUGCGUCUCCCAUGCAGGAAGCUCCCCCCACCUCUCUGACACUGGCCCAGUCUGGGAGACAAGGCCCCUCUCCCAUCAUAACCCAAAUGCUGGGACGGACCGCUGCUUCUGGGCAAAGUGGGGAGAUGGCUGGUCCAGGGGGAGGAGGACCUUUACCUGUCCUGUCCGCGCCAAGCCUUCUGCCGCCGCCCCCCGGGGGUGGGUUGGGCGGUGUGGGGGCUCCCUGCUGCUGGGGGGGUCCGCCCUUAAGCAGGCUGGCGGUCAGUACACCAGCCCCGGUCAGCUUCAGCCACACAACCUCGAGCACGCACCAUCUGGUGGCCAAAAUGUGCCUGCCGCCAGUUCCAGUGUGCCCACCACAGUGCCCACGGGCGCACCCAGUGCCUCUAGUGCAGCCAUGCCAAACCUGAUGACCUCCAGUCUGCUAAUGGCCAAGCAGGCCCAGUUCUCCCGCGGUCAACUGGGAGCUUUCGGGGUCUUCGGGGCCCUGGUCCCUGGGAAGGACCUGAUGAAGCCUCUAAUUCCAGAGAGCCUGCAUCUCUCCAGCCCCACGGUCCGCAGUCUGUUUGGGAUUCCCUUACCCAUGGACGGGGAAGAGGACAGGAACCCAUCCAAGGCCUUCUACCAGGCCUUCCAGCCUGGGAGCAGGUUAAGGGACUCAAAGACCCCCAGUGAUAGUGCCGCUGGAACCAGUGUAGUUGCCAUCGACAACAAGAUUGAACAGGCGAUGGACUUGGUAAAGAGUCACCUUAUGUAUGCGGUGCGUGAGGAGGUGGAGGUGCUGAAGGAGCAGAUCAAGGAGCUGUUGGAGAGGAACUCAGUGCUGGAGCGGGAAAACGUCGUCCUGAAGUCGAUCUCCAACACUGACCAGCUGUCCCAGCUCUCCACUCCGCCAGCCUCCUGCGCAGGUGGCACGCCUCCGCAGCAGCCGGGCCUCGGCCAGGCUCAGGCCCAGCACCAGUCCCAGUCACAUUCACAGCUGCAGCACCCCCAUUCUGCACCUCAGACCCAGUCCCCCCAGACCCAGCCUCCUCAGACCCAGCCUCCUCAGACCCAGCCUCCUCAGAACCAGUCCCCCCAGACCCAGCCACAUCUAGACCCCAGUCAGCCGCCACAACCCAACUUCACCUCCGCCUGAAGUGCAAUCCUCCCCUACCCCUUUUGCUUCACAGGAGAGGGGGGGGGGGGCUACAACUUAGUACAACUAGUAUCUGUGGAAAGAGAAAAUAAUGUACAAAAACUUUCUUUCUUUUCACCAGCUUGACCACAAAGUACAGUGUGUUUUGUGUGUGUGUGUGUGUGUGUGGACAUUGGUGUGUUUGUGUUAGGAGGCUAGAGUGAGUUAGGGAGUGGAACAUGUCCAGCAUGAAUUGUGUGAAUUAGGGCUUUGACUCCGAACUUCGUUAUUCGAAUAUAAUUUGAAUAUCAAAAAAUGUAAACGAAUAUUAGGCAGUCCUUAAUAUUCAAACCUUUUAUGGGCAGGCCAGGAGGGAGGGACGUCGGAAAACCCGACGCAGUCUAUUCAUAAUAUUGUAAUGAAUUAAGUAUGAAUUAAGUAUCGAAUAGACAGCGAUUUAUUAGAAACCUAAUAAACCGUUGGAACACGCAAGACCGGUAACCAUAGAAACGCGGUAAACAAACAUCGCGAAGCCCAAUCCAGGUCUUACUGAAGGCAUUUAAUGGUCAAAAUAUUAUUAAUAAAUAUUUGAAUAUAUUUGAAUAUUAAUAAACAAACAAACUUCGAAUAUGAUUUUCGGGCAAAAGUCAAAGCCCUAGUGUGAAUGUUAGGUAUGAGUGUGUAUACGUUUGUAUACUGUGGGCAUGCAAUCAUCGAGAGAAAGACACAGAGACGAGGAGAGCGAGGGAAAUUUGCCACUGUGCUGGAACUUGGGACGUGUUUGCUUUUUGGGGCAACCUUAUGAGACUCUUGUGUGGAGACGCUGAUCACCAUGAAGAACGAAUGAGGUGUGAUUGUCAAAGAGAGCGAUAUUUUUUUAAAUGAGAUAUUCUAGUGUGUGAAGGGAUGUAUUUUUUAGCCUUGCUCUUUCAUGUUGUAAAUAAGAAAGUAAGAGAGAAAGUAGGAAAGUCUAUUUUCAGAUCACCAGCGCUGCCAUUAUCUAGGUUUCCAUCAAUCUACAACCCUGGUCUCCUGCUCAAAUUCUACUGUUGCCGCUUUAUUUAUUACAGGGCUGCUGUCACAGAUUGAGAACAAUGUCAUUACAUCCAUAUCAGUCACCAUAGCCUUUUAUCCCUGCUUUCUUCUGCCAUUUGUUUAGUAGUAUUUCACAUUAUUUGGCCAUACUUUCUUGAGGUACUGUAUUAGAUUAGUUGAAAAUGUAGCCCUAAACCAUGAAUCACUUAACAAUGCGUUCAACACUAACUCAAAAUCUUCUGGAAAUGCCAAAUUACAAUAAAUAAAUGUUAACUCACAAUGAAUGUACUGGUAAAGGAUGUUUUAGUAUUAAUAUUCUCGCAAGGUGAAGAAAAACAACAUUGACAUCAAUUCUUCAAAAUAAACUUAAUUAAUAAAUAUGUUUGUAUUGCAACACCCCCUCUUCCCAACUUACAUAGCCUGUUUUAUUUUUUUGAUGGUAUGUGGGGGGUAAAGCUGUGAAAUCAUUCAACCUACUUUUGUAACCAAAGAUGCAAAGCUGUGUAUAUCUUUUUUUUUUAAUGCACUUUUUAUUUUGUUCUAUUUCUUCCUCCACAAUUUAUUUUGUUGUUCAGCAUGAUCUGUAACUUUCAAACCACUUUCUUACCUCAUUUUUAUUCACUCUUAUUGUAAGAUAGUCUGUGAACAAUGUCUACCGGGGCAAAAGUACAUCUUGAGUUGGCUGAGAGGUAGAACUAAUGUUGCCAAACACUAGUCAGAAAUGAAGUGAGCCAUGUUCAUUUAAAUGGUGUUUGAAUUUCAUGCCAAUAGUUUUGUUACAUUGCAAAUUUUAACGUAUUUAAAUAAAAGCAAUAUUGACCAGAAGUGUUGAGCCUUAUACGAAACUGCA